GUGGCUGUAGCUCAGUGGUAGAGCGCCCGGUUGUGGCCCGGGAGGUCGCGGGGGUCGGUACCCGCCAGUCACCCCA
rnacentral:tRNA from 1 species